rnacentral:rRNA from 4 species
ACAACUUUCAACAACGGAUCUCUUGGUUCUGGCAUCGAUGAAGAACGCAGCGAAAUGCGAUAAGUAGUGUGAAUUGCAGAAUUCAGUGAAUCAUCGAAUCUUUGAACGCACAUUGCGCCCCUUGGUAUUCCAUGGGGCAUGCCUGUUCGAGCGUCAUUUGUACCUUCAAGCU